CAGCAGCCACGGGAAUACGUAGGUGGCAAGCGUUGUCCGGAAUUAUUGGGCGUAAAGGGCUCGCAGGCGGUUUCUUAAGUCUGAUGUGAAAGCCCCCGGCUCAACCGGGGAGGGUCAUUGGAGACUGGGAAACUUGAGUGCAGAAGAGGAGAGUGGAAUUCCACGUGUAGCGGUGAAAUGCGUAGAGAUGUGGAGGAACACCAGUGGCGAAGGCGACUCUCUGGUCUGUAACUGACGCUGAGGAGCGAAAGCGUGGGGAGCGAGCAGGAUUAGAUACCCGUGUAGUCCCUGUCUCUUAUAC
rnacentral:rRNA from 1 species